rnacentral:rRNA from 1 species
AUCCGCAUAACAUAAGAGAAUCGCAUGAUUUUCUUAUCAAAGAUUUAUUGCUUUGAGAUGGACCCGCGGCGCAUUAGCUAGUUGGUAAGGUAACGGCUUACCAAGGCAACGAUGCGUAGCCGACCUGAGAGGGUGAUCGGCCACAUUGGAACUGAGACACGGUCCAGACUCCUACGGGAGGCAGCAGUGGGGAAUAUUGCGCAAUGGGGGAAACCCUGACGCAGCAACGCCGCGUGGGUGAUGAAGGUCUUCGGAUUGUAAAGCCCUGUUUUCUGGGACGAUAAUGACGGUACCAGAGGAGGAAGCCACGGCUAACUACGUGCCAGCAGCCGCGGUAAUACGUAGGUGGCGAGCGUUGUCCGGAUUUACUGGGCGUAAAGGGUGCGUAGGCGGAUGUUUAAGUGGGAUGUGAAAUCCCCGGGCUUAACCUGGGGGCUGCAUUCCAAACUGGAUAUCUAGAGUGCAGGAGAGGAAAGCGGAAUUCCUAGUGUAGCGGUGAAAUGCGAAUU